rnacentral:lncRNA from 1 species
UCUCAACCAAAGUGGACACACACAAGAGGUAAUUAGAGGAGUGGAAUAUUAAAGCAAACAACACUUCUUACUUGUAGAGAUGAACAAGAAGAUUAGAAGAAGAAGUUGAAGAGCUUUUGAAGCUUUUGGAAAGCUAGGACACUUGAGCACUUGGAAGCUUGGAGGCAAAAACGUGUGAUCAAAUGUGGAGUGAAAAACUCUUUGAUUGCUU